AUGAUACACUGUAUGACUUCGCUACACGCAGGGCUCGUAAAGUUCGUGGGAUAACUCUUUCCGCAGAACUAAGAGAGUGAUCGUUCCAUUACUUCUUCUCGUCCAAACUCUUGAGGGAAGAAGAGAAUUAUAGAUCUAUAGAUAGAUACUUACAAAAAAAUUAACGGUCAAACUAUAUUUUCCCCAAUAUGGCUUACGUGGUAAUAAUUCGUUUCCUAACGAUAUAAUCAAAUUUCUAGGAAAAUCGUUAGAGCCAUUUUCGUAUUCGGGUCCACCCAGGUUUUUGAUUUUUGAGCCCCAUAAGGCUACAGGUUUUUGAUUUUUGAGCCCCAUAAGGUUAUAGGUUUUUGAUUUUUGAGCCCCAUAAGGUUAUAGGUUUUUGUUUUUGAGCCCCAUAAGGUUAUACGUUUUAGAUUUUUGAGCCCCAUAAGGUUAUAGGUUUUUGAUUUUUGAGCCCCAUAAGGUUAUAGGUUUUUGAUUUUUAAGCCCCAUAAGGUUACAGGUUUUUGAUUUUUGAGC
rnacentral:sRNA from 1 species